rnacentral:misc_RNA from 1 species
GAUGAAGAACGCAGCGAAAUGCGAUAAGUAGUGUGAAUUGCAGAAUUCAGUGAAUCAUCGAAUCUUUGAACGCACAUUGCGCCCCUUGGUAUUCCAUGGGGCAUGCCUGUUCGAGCGUCAUUUGUACCUUCAAGCCUUGCUUGGUGUUGGGUGUUUGUCUCGCCUCUGCGCGCAGACUCGCCUCAAAACAAUUGGCAGCCGGCGUAUUGAUUUCGGAGCGCAGUACAUCUCGCGCUUUGCACUCAGAACGACGACGUCCAAAAGUACAUUUUUACACUCUUGACCUCGGAUCAGGUAGGGAUACCCGCUGAACUUAAUCAUAUCAAUAAGCGGAGGA